AGUGAACGCUGGCGGCAGGCCUAACACAUGCAAGUCGAGCGGCAGCGCGGGGGCAACCCUGGCGGCGAGCGGCGGACGGGUGAGGAAUUCGUCGGAAUCUGCCUUUUUGUGGGGGAUAACGUAGGGAAACUUACGCUAAUACCGCAUACGUCCUACGGGAGAAAGUGGGGGACCGCAAGGCCUCACGCAGAAAGAUGAGCCGACGACCGAUUAGCUAGUUGGUGGGGUAAAGGCCCACCAAGGCGACGAUCGGUAGCUGGUCUGAGAGGAUGAUCAGCCACACUGGGACUGAGACACGGCCCAGACUCCUACGGGAGGCAGCAGUGGGGAAUAUUGGACAAUGGGCGCAAGCCUGAUCCAGCCAUGCCGCGUGUGUGAAGAAGGCCUUCGGGUUGUAAAGCACCUUUGUCCGGAAAGAAAUCCCUGGAGCUAAUACCUUCGGGGGAUGACGGUACCGGAAGAAUAAGCACCGGCUAACUUCGUG
rnacentral:rRNA from 1 species